rnacentral:tRNA from 1 species
GGCCCAUUAGCUCAGUUGGUUAAAGCGUCGUGCUAAUAACCCGAAGGUCGUGGGUUCGAUCUCCCCAUUGGCCA